rnacentral:rRNA from 1 species
AUUGAACGCUGGCGGCAGGCCUAACACAUGCAAGUCGAGCGGAGCGGCGGACGGGUGAGUAAUGCCUAGGAAUCUGCCUGGUAGUGGGGGAUAACGUCCGGAAACGGGCGCUAAUACCGCAUACUAUCAGAUGAGCCUAGGGUGGAUUUGCUAGUUGGUGGGGUAAAGGCCUACCAAGGCGACGAUCCGUAACUGGUCUGAGAGGAUGAUCAGUCACACUGGAACGGAGACCAGGUCCAACCUCCGACGGGAGGCAGCAGUGGGGAAUAUUGGACAAUGGGCGAAAGGCUGUACCAGCCAUGCCGCGUGUGUGAAGAAGGUCUUCGGAUUGUAAAGCACUUUAAGUUGGGAAGCGUUACCAACAGAAUAAGCACCGGCUAACUCCGUGCCAGCAGCCGCGGUAAUUC